rnacentral:rRNA from 1 species
GAGUUUGAUCGUGGCUCAGAUUGAACGCUGGCGGCGUGCUUAACACAUGCAAGUCGAGCGGUAACAGGCGUAGCAAUACGUGCUGACGAGCGGCGAACGGGUGAGUAAUGCUUCGGAAUCUUCCUCGUAGUGGGGAAUAACCUGGGGAAACUCAGGCUAAUACCGCAUACGAACUACGGUUGAAAGCAGGGGAUCGCAAGACCUUGCGCUAUGAGAUGAGCCGAAGUCGGAUUAGCUAGUUGGUGAGGUAACGGCUCACCAAGGCGACGAUCCGUAGCUGGUCUGAGAGGACGACCAGCCACACUGGGACUGAGACACGGCCCAGACUCCUACGGGAGGCAGCAGUGGGGAAUAUUGGACAAUGGGGGCAACCCUGAUCCAGCGACGCCGCGUGUGUGAAGAAGGCCUGCGGGUUGUAAAGCAC